rnacentral:rRNA from 1 species
GACGAACGCUGGCGGCGUGCUUAACACAUGCAAGUCGAACGGAAAGGCCCUGCUUUUGUGGGGUGCUCGAGUGGCGAACGGGUGAGUAACACGUGAGUAACCUGCCCUUGACUUUGGGAUAACUUCAGGAAACUGGGGCUAAUACCGGAUAGGAGCUCCUGCUGCAUGGUGGGGGUUGGAAAGUUUCGGCGGUUGGGGAUGGACUCGCGGCUUAUCAGCUUGUUGGUGGGGUAGUGGCUUACCAAGGCUUUGACGGGUAGCCGGCCUGUGAGGGUGACCGGCCACAUUGGGACUGAGAUACGGCCCAGACUCCUACGGGAGGCAGCAGUGGGGAAUAUUGCACAAUGGGCGGAAGCCUGAUGCAGCAACGCCGCGUGCGUGAUGACGGCCUUCGGGUUGUAAACCGCUUUCGCCUGUGACGAAGCGUGAGUGACGGUAAUGAGUAAAGAAGCACCGGCUAACUACGUG